UUCCAUAUCAUUGAUCCCUACAUGCAGCGGUGAUGGAACUUGAACUGGUGCCCAGCAAUUUCCUCAAGAUCGACAUCUUCAACCCACAGACCAUGGGCAUGGGUUGCGCCAAAUAUACCAGCCGCAAGCUCCGGAGGCAGCAUGCAACAAUCCAACACCACACACCAUCUGUCCUACCCUGAAGGACUGUUAUGACAGAUGGAGCCCCAAAGUCAUGGAUUAGAUAAAAUCGAUGUACACGUUAGAGGGAUGGCCCAUACACUAAGGGAAUGCUAUUCGUGUGUGGGGGUGUACAUAUAUAUAUCUAUCUCAAAGACAGGGAAAGUGGUGGUGAUUAAUUGGAAAGUGUAGUAUCUGGGCAUGAUGUAGAUGGUAUA